GAUGAACGCUGGCGGCGUGCUUAACACAUGCAAGUCGAACGAGGUUACUUAUUACGAUCCCUUCGGGGUGACGAUUUUUAACCGAGUGGCGGACGGGUGAGUAACGCGUGGGCAACCUGCCCCAUACAGGGGGAUAACAGUUGGAAACGACUGACAAUACCGCAUAAGCGCACGGUCUCGCAUGAGACAGUGUGAAAAACUCCGGUGGUAUGGGAUGGGCCCGCGUCUGAUUAGCUAGUUGGUGAGGUAACGGCCCACCAAGGCGACGAUCAGUAGCCGACCUGAGAGGGUGACCGGCCACAUUGGGACUGAGACACGGCCCAAACUCC
rnacentral:rRNA from 1 species